rnacentral:rRNA from 1 species
UACGAAGGGGGCUAGCGUUGCUCGGAAUCACUGGGCGUAAAGCGCACGUAGGCGGAUUGUUAAGUCAGGGGUGAAAUCCUGGAGCUCAACUCCAGAACUGCCUUUGAUACUGGGAGUCUUGAGUUCGGGAGAGGUGAGUGGAACUGCGAGUGUAGAGGUGAAAUUCGUAGAUAUUCGCAAGAACACCAGUGGCGAAGGCGGCUCACUGGCCCGAUACUGACGCUGAGGUGCGAAAGCGUGGGGAGCAAACAGG